rnacentral:rRNA from 1 species
AGCCUUAAGAUUAUAUUUAAGGUAAUGCCUGCCCAGUGCUAAAGUGUUAACGGCCGCAGUACCUUGACUGUGCUAAGGUAGCAUAAUCAGUUGGCUUUUAAAUGGAGUCGGGAAUGAAUGGAUUUAUAGGGUAAAGCUGUCUCUUUUAUAUUUUAUUGAAUUUAAUUAUUAGGUGAAAAUACCUAAAAUUAAGAAAAAAGACGAGAAGACCCUAGGAGUUUUUACUAAUGGCCAAUUUAAGUUGGCUUCUGGUUUUUGUUGGGGCGACAUAGGAACAAACAACUUCCUUAUUUUAUAGGCCGACUACGUAUGAAUAAUAAAACUACCCUAGGGAUAACAGCGUAAUUCUUUAUGGAGCUUGCGACCUCGAUGUUGGACUAGGAAUUUGAUUGGCUAGCCGCCACUUUAUAUUGUUCUGUUCGAACUUAAUUUCCU